GAUAAAUUUCUACGGCGGCUGUAGUCUUCUUUGUGGCUCUGCGAGCGUCGGUGGGAGACUCCGGGGGAAAAAUCCCAGCUUUUUUUGACCUCCGGAGUUAGAGGAUGCUUAUCCGAGUUCUCUCCAUCCAUCCCGCCCACGCCUUCCGAAUGGCGAUGCCUCUCUCCCACUCGCCCCUUCUCAAAUCUCCUUCCUAUCUCCUUCUUCGCCACCAUUCCUUCGCUCCUCCAUCUCUCUACCGCUUCCUCUCCUUCCGUUCCCUCUCUUCUCCUCUUUCUUCCCCCUUUUCCUCUCUCUCUUCCAACAGAUCCAGCAAGAAAUGGAAGCAGCCAAUCGCCGCUCUCCUCGAAAUCGGCGGCGUCAAGAUCGCCAAAGACGAUGUGGUAAAGGAGAAUGAUCCCACGAACAAUGUCCCGGACACAAUAUUUUCAAAGCUUGGGGUGGAGCUUCAUCGCCGAGAUAACCAUCCGAUUGGGAUUUUGAAAAAUGCCAUCUACGAUUACUUUGACACUAACUUCCCGGCUAAGUUUGUCAAAUUUGACGACUUAUGUCCCAUUGUUUCCAUCAAAGAGAAUUUUGACGAUGUACUGGUUCCUGCUGAUCAUAUAAGCAGGAGUUAUAAUGAUACAUAUUAUGUUGAUGCUCAGACUGUCUUGAGAUGCCAUACAAGUGCUCAUCAGGCAGAGUUAUUGAGGAAAGGGCAUUCCCAUUUUCUUGUAACUGGGGAUGUCUAUCGUAGGGACUCAAUUGACUCAACUCAUUAUCCUGUCUUUCAUCAGAUGGAAGGUGUUCGUGUCUUCUCCCCUGAUGACUGGGCGGGUUCUGGCAUGGAUGCUACAUCUUAUGUAGCCAUGGAUUUAAAGAAGUCUCUUGAGGGUUUGGCAAAGCAUCUUUUUGGUGCUGUGGACAUGCGCUGGGUUGAUACUUACUUUCCCUUCACUAAUCCAUCCUUUGAAUUGGAGAUAUUUUUUCAGGAGAAAUGGAUGGAAGUGUUGGGAUGCGGAGUGACAGAGCAGGAGAUUCUCAGAAGAAGUGGUAGAAUGGAUGGUGUUGCAUGGGCCUUUGGACUAGGGUUGGAACGACUUGCAAUGGUUCUCUUUGAUAUACCAGACAUUCGACUUUUUUGGUCAACUGAUCAGCGAUUUACAUCACAAGUACAUCUCCACCUGAUUUGCAGCUGUUUUCUGAGGGAAAACUUGGCAUCAAGUUCCAGCCAUUUUCAAAGUAUCCUCCCUGCUACAAAGAUAUGAGUUUCUGGAUCAGUGAUUCUUUUACUGAGAAUAAUUUAUGUGAAGUUGUUAGAGGAAUUGCUGGGGAUCUGGUGGAGGAGGUGCAGUUGAUCGAUAAUUUUACUAAUAAAAAGGGUAUGACCAGCCACUGUUACAGAAUUGCAUACAGGUCAAUGGAACGUUCACUCACAGACGAGGAGAUAAACCAACUGCAGGGGCGUGUUAGAGAAGCAGUGCAGAGUAAACUGAAUGUUGUUCUAAGAUAAGAUUUUAGCCCAGGAGGAAUCAAUUUUGUCAUUGUAAACUGUACAGACAUUAAUUUUAUACAAAUUGCAGUAAAAUUCUGCUAAUCAUGUUGUAUUCAGAUGUUCUUGAUGGUUCAAUUGGAAAGAAAGCACACAUGUAGGUAGCCAAAUGAGUUACAUUUCGUUAAGGGUUGACAUACUUAACCAUUAUGCUGUUUCUGUGUGCUGAUAUACUUAAUUAUAUAUUUAAGUUUAUAUCUGUUUCAUA